rnacentral:rRNA from 1 species
GAUGAACGCUGGCGGCGUGCCUAAUACAUGCAAGUCGAGCGAACAGACGAGGCUCUUGCUCCUUCGACGUUAGCGGCGGACGGGUGAGUAACACGUAGGUAACCUACCUAUAAGACUGGGAUAACUUCGGGAAACCGGCGCUAAUCCCGGGUUAUAUUUCGAACCGCAUGGUUCGAUAGUGAAAGAUGGCUUUGCUAUCACUUAUAGAUAGACCUGCGCCGUAUUAGCUAGUUGGUAAGGUAACGGCUUACCAAGGCAACGAUACGUAGCCGACCUGAGAGGGUGAUCGGCCACACUGGAACUGAGACACGGUCCAGACUCCUACGGGAGGCAGCAGUAGGGAAUCUUCCGCAAUGGGCGAAAGCCUGACGGAGCAACGCCGCGUGAGUGAUGAAGGUCUUCGGAUCGUAAAACUCUGUUAUUAGGGAAGAACAAACGUGUAAGUAACUGUGCACGUCUUGACGGUACCUAAUCAGAAAGCCACGGCUAACUACGUG